rnacentral:rRNA from 1 species
UGGGGAAUAUUGCACAAUGGGCGCAAGCCUGAUGCAGCCAUGCCGCGUGUGUGAAGAAGGCCUUCGGGUUGUAAAGCACUUUCAGCGAGGAGGAAGGUGGUGAACUUAAUACGUUCAUCAAUUGACGUUACUCGCAGAAGAAGCACCGGCUAACUCCGUGCCAGCAGCCGCGGUAAUACGGAGGGUGCAAGCGUUAAUCGGAAUUACUGGGCGUAAAGCGCACGCAGGCGGUUUGUUAAGUCAGAUGUGAAAUCCCCGGGCUCAACCUGGGAACUGCAUUUGAAACUGGCAAGCUAGAGUCUCGUAGAGGGGGGUAGAAUUCCAGGUGUAGCGGUGAAAUGCGUAGAGAUCUGGAGGAAUACCGGUGGCG